AAGACACUAGUAAAACGUAAAUUACACUGCCUUGUCAAGGCAUAAUUGUGGGUUAGAGCCCCACGUGUCUUA
rnacentral:tRNA from 1 species